rnacentral:ribozyme from 13 species
UCAUAUUUCUGUGCGCCUCUCUCUUCCUUCUCUCUUUCUCCCCCUUUUUCUCCCUUCUCUUUGGCCACCUCCCCCUCACUUCCUUCUUCGGAAGAAGCGGGAGAGGGAGAAGAGGGGUCAGAGAGAAGAGCAUAGUAAUCAUAUUUAAUAUCUUUUUUUUGCCUU